UUUCYGUAGGUGAACCUGCGGAAGGAUCAUUG
rnacentral:rRNA from 1 species